GACGAACGCUGGCGGCAGGCUUAACACAUGCAAGUCGAACGAAGUGGCGAACGGGUGAGUAACGUGUAAUAAACCGGCCCUUCCGAGGGGGACAACAGUUGGAAACGACUCUUAAUACCGCAUACGGAAUGGGGGGCUUGCGGGUGAUUAGCUAGUUGGGGGGGUAACGGCCCACCAAGGUGAUGAUCAGUAGACGGUCUGAGAGGAGUAACGUCCCCAACUGGACUGGUAAACGGCCCCGACUCCUACGGUAGGCAGGAGUUGGGGAUCUUCGGCAAUGGACGACAGUCUGGCUGAACAACUCCCGGUGGUUGAUGGCGGACCUCGGGUUGUAAAGGUCUGUGAAUCGAGGCGCGGUACCCGCAGAGAAAGCCACGGCUAACUCCGUGCCAGCAGCCGCGGUAAUUC
rnacentral:rRNA from 1 species